ACCUCUUAUACAUAAGUUUUUCCUCAUUAGCCUCUAUCUGUCUAUUGAAAUGGCAUGCCAAUCAGACCUUACCAAUAUAGGGAGGGAAGCAUUUGAUCUGCUUGAAGGGCAUCUGGCUGCAAAAAGAAGGCCCCCUCAUCAAGUUCAAAUCCACAGUCAGAUCCAACCCCGUGUUUACACUGUAUAGCCCAGACACCCCCCAUACAAAACGCACACCUACCUGGUGCACACUUAUUAUGUUGUGGAAAGGCCUACCAAGGAAGCACUUCGCAAGGUAUUUUAGCUCCCUCAGCUUGUAUGGAAUGAAGACUCUUGCUAUCAAGGAAGCACUUCACAAGGUUUUUUAGAUCCCUCGGCUUGUAUGGAAUGAAGACUCUUACUUAGGUAGGAGUCUUUUGCUUGUACCAAUGCUCUAUGUACCCACUUUUUUUUAUGGAAUAGUGGUCUUUAUGUUUGUAUA